rnacentral:rRNA from 1 species
GUAGGGAAUCUUCCACAAUGGACGAAAGUCUGAUGGAGCAACGCCGCGUGAGUGAAGAAGGUCUUCGGAUCGUAAAACUCUGUUGUUAGAGAAGAACGUGCAUGAUAGUAACUGAUCAUGUAAUGACGGUAUCUAACCAGAAAGCCACGGCUAACUACGUGCCAGCAGCCGCGGUAAUACGUAGGUGGCAAGCGUUGUCCGGAUUUAUUGGGCGUAAAGGGAACGCAGGCGGUUUUUUAAGUCUGAUGUGAAAGCCUUCGGCUUAACCGAAGAAUAGCAUUGGAAACUGGAAGACUUGAGUGCAGAAGAGGAGAGUGGAAUUCCAUGUGUAGCGGUGAAAUGCGUAGAUAUUGGGAAGAACACCGGUGGCGAAGGCGGCUUACUGGACGAUAACUGACGUUGAGGCUCGAAGGCGUGGGGAGCAAACAGGAUUAGAAACCCCGGUAGUCC